AUAGUUGCGUAAUGUAAUUUUCCUAGCCAAUGAGGGUUAUCCGAGGCAACGUUAUUGCUAGUUGAAAAUUAUUAUUAUUAUCAUUAUUAUUAUUAGUAGUAGUAGUAGUAUUUUUUGAUGAACUGGUGUUUAUCAUCAGU